rnacentral:rRNA from 1 species
UCAAGAGUACGUGAAACCGUUCAGGGGUAAACCUGAGAAACCCGAAAGAUCGAAUGGGGAGAUUCAUCGUCAGCGACGUCGGCUUUUCGGUGGUUCUCGAUGCACUGCGUCCUCUGGGCGUUUGUCGCACGAGUCCUCCGUGCAACCUCAUGUCCGGCGGCGUCGGCGUGCACUUCUCCCCUAGUAGGACGUCGCGACCCGUUGGGUGUUGGUCUACGGCUCGAGUCGUCGCCUGUCCCGUCGCUUCGGCGUCUCGGGGCAGACGCUCGGUCGCCCGACCGGCUGCCCGGCGGUACUCGCACGGUAUCUGGCCGCAAUCUCGAACUGCGUCUCAGGCCCGCCGCAAGCGCGGUCAGUGUAUACCCGGAGGUACGGACCUGGUGCCGUCCCCGGGCCUGGCCCGUUGUUCGCCGGCGGUGUUCUCUGACCGGCCACGAGUAAUGAUACCGGUCGGCGACGCUAUUGCUUUGGGUACUUUCAGGACCCGUCUUGAAA